rnacentral:rRNA from 1 species
CUACGGGGGGCACCAGUGGGGAAUAUUGCACAAUGGGCGCAAGCCUGAUGCAGCCAUGCCGCGUGUAUGAAGAAGGCCUUCGGGUUGUAAAGUACUUUCAGCGGGGAGGAAGGGAGUAAAGUUAAUACCUUUGCUCAUUGACGUUACCCGCCGAAGAAGCACCGGCUAACUCCGUGCCAGCAGCCGCGGUAAUACGGAGGGUGCAAGCGUUAAUCGGAAUUACUGGGCGUAAAGCGCACGCAGGCGGUUUGUUAAGUCAGAUGUGAAAUCCCCGGGCUCAACCUGGGAACUGCAUCUGAUACUGGCAAGCUUGAGUCUCGUAGAGGGGGGUAGAAUUCCAGGUGUAGCGGUGAAAUGCGUAGAUAUCUGGAGGAAUACCGGUGGCGAAGGCGGCCCCCUGGACGAAGACUGACGCUCAGGUGCGAAAGCGUGGGGAGCAAACAGGAUUAGAUACCCGCGUAGUC